UAUUGGCACUAAUCUCACUCCAUAGUUUUGUUCUCUUGACAGAAGCUUCUUCACCACCUUCUAAGAAACGUGCAAAGGUCCAAGGAGAACAGGAGGCGCAGAAAGAAAGGAAGGUUUUCUUUCUGAGGAGAAGCAGCAGGGUUACCGCGGCCCAGGCGCCGACCAACAGCGACGAAGACGACGACGCCGACGAAGAACACGUCCCGUUUUACCUGUCAGAGGGCGUCUUUGACGGAGACGAAGAUGACAUGGAUGAGGAGGCGCUGAGGAGCGUGGAGAGGAAAUGCCCCUACUGCCCCGAUCGGUUUCAUAAUGGAAUCGGCCUGGCCAAUCACGUACGAGGACACUUGAAGCGAGUGGGCGUCAGCUACAACGUGCGUCACUUCAUCUCUCCAGAGGAAGUCAACGCGAUUGAGAAGAAGUUCUCCUAUCAGAAGAAGAAGAAAAAAGUUGCCAACUUUGACCCCGACACAUUCAGCUUGAUGCACUGCGAGUUCUGCAGCGCCGGCUUCGACACACGGGCCGGCCUGUCCAGUCACGCUCGGGCUCACCUGCGGGACUUUGGGAUCACUAAUUGGGACGUUACCAUCUCACCUAUCCACAUUUUGAGGGAGUUGUUCUCCAGCAGGCCAGACCUGAUGACUACAGAUCCCCCUCGCAGUCUCGGCAGCUCUUCGGAGGAAGACGAAGUUGAGGAUUGCGAUGAGGGGGACUCUGGGGACGGAGGAAUUAUUAAGGUUAAGCUUGAAGGGGAGACGAGUGAAAAGAGCCCCCACCCCUCUGACUCUGUUGACCUGAGUUCAGGAUAUCAUCGACGCAGGAAGAAAAAGAAAAGACUGGAGGACCGUGAUGGUGAUGACAAGGAUGCGGCAGAUGAAGACGAUGAGGAGGGUCUCCGGCUGUCGCUGGAUGGUCUGUGCUCCAGUGUGGGGAAAAAGGACCGGCUCACCCAGAGGGAGGAUGUAGGCACCAAAGCCCAGAAGUGGAAGUGUGAGGUCUGCGACUCUCAGUUCGAGAGCAAACGUGGACUCUCCAUCCACUCUCGCGCUCACCUGCGCCAGCUGGGCGUCACCGUCUCCGACAGCGGCUGGUCGGCCAUCGAUCUGCUCCACCGGGUGGCCAUGGAACGCAGCAUAGACGGCAAGAUAAGCUCGUCUCUUCUCACGCCCAAGAAACCCUCCCUGCCUGUUUCCCUUAAAGAUGAGGAGGACAUGGAGCUGGACGAGAAACCCAUCCCUCUGUCCAUCCUGGCCAAAGCGGCAAAGGCGGUGCCGUCUGGCUCCGCCACGCCUACACCUUCUCCGGGUGCCUCUCCAGCUCCGGCUCACUCCAACUCGCCUUCCUCAGUAGUGAAGAAAGCCCCCAUUUCAUCUCUACUGCCCGUGUCUUCCCCUUUGCGCUCCCCAGAGCCCAAAGUUGGGGGACUGAAGGGCUUGACCUCUAACCUAUCUGCUGCCUCUGCAACGUCAAAGCCACUUUGGGCUCCACAGGAGAACGAUGCUCCCCUCAACCUCACACUGGAUGCAGACUCCGAUAAGGACAUCGUUUGCCAGCUGUGCGGCGCCUGGUUCGAGACCCGUAAAGGCCUCUCUAGCCACGCCCGAGCCCACCUGCGACAUUUCGGUGUGGAAUACUCCGAGUCCAAGGGCUCUCCUAUUGAACUCCUGAGCCAGCUGAUGGACACGGACGACUUCAAGCACAAAGCAAGUGCGCUGGAGCUCAACUGUCCUACAGAAACGGAGGACGCCCCCGCCGCGCUUCCCACGGCGAAGCAGCCGGUGCUGACACUCUCCUCUUCUUCCUCUGCGUCACUCCUCUACAAGGUGACCACGGUCGGGGGUGGGUCCAAAGCUACCUCUUCCUCCGCUUCGUCCUUACCUGGCCGACCCGCCAAGCGGCUCAAGACUGCCUCCAUGCAGGUCUUCCGCCUCAGCAGUGGCGAGCUGAUGGCCCUUCCACACAACGAACCUCCAAAGGAAAUUGGCUGUGAAUACUGCGGCGAGUAUUUUGAGAACCGGAAAGGACUUUCCAGCCAUGCCCGCUCCCACCUGCGCCAAAUGGGGAUAACGGAGUGGUCCGUCAACGGGUCGCCAAUAGACACGUUAAGGGAGAUCAUCACGAGGCGGGGCCUGCCCUGCGCUCUUCCUCUUAAGCCUCUGAAAACCCCUCCGUCGUCCUCUCCGGGGCCCCCUCGCUCCCCUCUGUCCACUUCCUCGUCUCCCUCAGCCUCGCUCCUUGGCCGCCUGCCUUUUGCCUUCGCCCGCCCCUCCAGCCCGCCUCAGUCGGUGAUGUCCAAGUCCAGCUCGGCCGCUCCGAUGCCUUCCAGCGGCCUGACUCUCAAGCCAAAGCCCGAGCCGGUGCAGGUGGAGGUCACCGCGCCCGGACCUGUGGGGAGAUCCAGAAGUUUUCCGGUUGACUCUCCGAACUCCAGCUGGAGCGGCUCUGAUAAAGCUUACCCCCUCAACUUAGCCAUGUCCCACGAAGCGGAGCCUACGAGGGACAUUCGAUGCGAGUUCUGCGGGGAAUAUUUCGAGAACCGCAAAGGUCUGUCCAGCCACGCGCGGUCCCAUCUAAGGCAAAUGGGCAUCACGGAGUGGUCCGUCAACGGCUCGCCCAUCGACACCCUGAGGGAGGUCAUGCACAAGCGAGGGGCUGGCGGCUCGUCUCGCUCAGAGCAAGGAGUGAAGAAAGAGUCCCGCCAAGGAACCAGCAGUCCCUUAUGGGAAAACGUGGGAGGAGCCAGGGGGUCGGACGGUUUGGGUGUUUCCGGUUACCAGUCCUCCAAAUUCCGGAAAUCUCCUCUCAGUUUGGUGCAGUCUGGGUCACGGAUCCUUAAACAGGGGGUGAGCUCCGUGGGUCAACCUGCGGGGAAGCUGUUCCGAUUGUCCCCACUGGGUAAAAGGCCGUCAUCAGAUCAGGCCCAGUCGGCUGAGACUGGGGCAGCACAGGCACAUCGACUCAAGACCUUCUCAUCACUUCCACACGAUUUCUCCUACAAAAGGAAACCCUCGCCAGAAAAGCACGGACACCAGGACCCCAGCUGCGAGCUUUGCGGCUUCUACUUUGAGAACCGUAAGGCUUUAGCCAGCCAUGCGCGCGCCCACCUGAGGCAGUUCGGUGUGACUGAGUGGUCUGUGAACGGGUCGCCUAUCGAGACGCUCAGCGCUUGGAUCCGCAGUAGACCUCAGAAGGUUCUGGAGAUGCACCGGAACUACAUGCAGGGGAACCGCUCCACUCAGAAGAAGAAGAGGAGCUCCCUGGCUUCGUCAGCGGAUUCUGAUCAUGUCCUCCCCAUCUCAUCGCAGAAGGCCCACUCCUCGUACUCCUCUUCCUCCCAAUGGUCUCCUUCCUUCGCUGCUAGCCUGGCUCGCCCGCGGAGCCAAGAGCUCCAGCGGGGUUCCUCAGAGACGGCUGACGAGGAGUCGGGUACCAGCUCACGGUCGGCUUCAGGCCGGGCCGGUGGCAGCAGCCCCACCUUCUCACGCCUCGGCAGCAGCCUGCAGACGCAGGUGGCCCGCAGCGAGCUGAAUGUCCGCCUGUCAAGAGGUUUCGAGCGUCGUCCCAUGAAGCACCCAACCUGCCCAGACGGAUCAGAGCGAGACACUGGCUCUCCAAAGCCGCCACGCACAGGCACCGUCCCCUCACUGGUGCCCAAACCCCCUUCCUACCCACUGGUCAAACUGGUGGGCAAGUUCUACACCCUGAAGUGCCGGUUCUGCGAGGUGGAGUUCCACGGCCCGCUGUCGGUGCAGGAGGACUGGAUCAGACACCUCCAGCAGCACAUCUUCAAGAUGAACUACAAUAAGCCUGGCGCUCUAAAAGCAGCCGCCACCAACCCCCACAACCCCACCCCGGUCCAGGCCUCGGACCCCGGUUCAAGAACCGCCUCCACCCCGACCCGCUCCACCGCCUCCAACAGCCGCUCCCCAACGCCCGUGGCAGAGUUCGCCCCUGCCAUAACUGCCAAAGAGAUCACCCAGGUCUCAGAGGAGCAGCGCGCCAUAAUCCCCACUCCCUUUCCUCUCCCCACGCAGACGGUGUGAGCUCCAGCUCCUCCCAUGUCGCUACAGGUCCACCUUUGUUCGUCCAUUGCUUUCCUUCCUUUUAACCUUCAGCAAACUUUUAGGGAGGAACUUCCCUUUAUCAGAAGAGCACCUUUGAAGCAUCUCUAGUGUCCCCAAGUCCAGUUGCCAUGGGAACAAAACUCUCCGGGCUCCUCUGCGGAUUGGGGAUGGGUGAUGAUGGAAAAGAUUCAAGCGAAGCUGCUUGAACGAGAGUUAAAAGGGACUCGUGUGUGAGCCUGUCUGGCUGUGGAGUCUGGUCUGGACUUGAAAUUCACCCAUGGUUGUGAGGAUGUGCCAAAGAGCCCGUUUACUUCCAUAUCCUGCCUCUGUAAAAGCUGUUUACAUUGGACCCGAUGGUGAGGAGCCAGCACGCUCGGUGGACGACGGCGGACUCAACCUUUUGUUUUGGCAUAAACCCUGCUUCCUAAAAGACUUGAUGGGACAAGCGUUACUGUAGGGUUAUAUUUAUUCCACUUGCAAACCAAACACGAGUGAAAAAAGGGGGCGGGGCUUUUGAGAUCAGUGGGAAACGUCUGGAUCCCGAGGCUGUAAUCAGCUCAUUUUUAUUUUUGACGUUUCCUCUGUUCAGACGUUAGGAGACACUUCAAGGGUCCAUCCAGGUUGAGAUUUCCAGUGUUUCCCAUGCUUAAAACGUGAAUGUUUGAUCCAAAUGAUUCCUCAACCCUUUUAUGGACUAUAUAUACAUAGCUAUAUAACUACAUAUACUUAAAGAAACUGCUGGUGCUAAUAGAGCCGUCAGCAUUUCUGUUAGCAGAGUAGUUCAACAAUAAGUGAUCUUAAAUUCCUUUUAUUGUGAGUUGAUUUCAACAUUUGAUGCUUUGUAUUUUUAUUAAUCUGUGUGUUUUACGUACAUUUGCAGUCCGGCAGAGGCAAAUCUUUGGGUGUUUUUCUUUUCUAUUUUUUUGUUUUACCUGUUAGUUUCUCCACGCUGAAACUGGGUGGUGGUGGUGGGAAAGGUGGCGACUUAUCUUCAUGAGAUGGUCGCAUCUUGUCAUCAGAACACUAUGAGACCAUAAAGGGGGACCGCUUUGCCAAGUGACGCAGGCUCCUCCUCCUUCUCUAGAUUCGGUAUGAAGAGGCCCAGAAAGAGAGAGUACCUGGAAGAGCCUCAUCUGGUGUAACUUGCUGUUCUGUGUGCGAGUGUGUGUAUGUUUUAUGUUUGAAUGUUUUACAAUAGCAGCUGAGGAACAAACAGUACUGUACACAAAGGGUCAUGUUUCAAGUAAAUCGACUACAGAACAAACAAUAAAUGUGAUUUCAGAUUCAGAA